GGCCGCGGGAAUUCGAUUCAGGCCUAACACAUGCAAGUCGAACGGCAGCACGGAGCUUGCUCUGGUGGCGAGUGGCGAACGGGUGAGUAAUAUAUCGGAACGUACCCUGGAGUGGGGGAUAACGUAGCGAAAGUUACGCUAAUACCGCAUACGAUCUACGGAUGAAAGUGGGGGAUCGCAAGACCUCAUGCUCGUGGAGCGGCCGAUAUCUGAUUAGCUAGUUGGUAGGGUAAAAGCCUACCAAGGCAUCGAUCAGUAGCUGGUCUGAGAGGACGACCAGCCACACUGGAACUGAGACACGGUCCAGACUCCUACGGGAGGCAGCAGUGGGGAAUUUUGGACAAUGGGCGAAAGCCUGAUCCAUCAAGGCCGCGUGAGUGAAGAAGGCCUUCGGGUU
rnacentral:rRNA from 1 species